UUAGAGUUGAUCCUGGCUCAGCUUGAAUGAUGGCGGCAUGGCUAAAACAUGCAAGUCGAACGCGAAAGUCCCUUCGGGGACGAUUAGAGUGGCGAAAGGGCGAGUAAUGCGUUUCUAACGUGCCCCCAGGUGCGGGAUAGCUCGGGGAAACCCGUGGUAAUACCGCAUAAUCCGGUAACGGCAAAGGCUUGCUGCCUGGGGAUCGGGAAACGUGCUAUCAGGUUGUUGGUAGGGUAAAGGCCUACCAAGCCUAAGACGGCUAGCGGGUGUGAGAGCACGACCCGCCGCAUCGGGACUGAGACACUGCCCGGACUCCUACGGGAGGCUGCAGUAACGAAUAUUCCGCAAUGCGCGAAAGCGUGACGGAGCAAUGCCGCGUGCAGGAUGAAGCCCCUCGGGGUGUAAACUGCUGUCAGAAGCCAGAACAACCGAUCAGCUUCAGAGGAAGGACCGGCUAACUUCGUGCCAGCAGCCGCGGUAAUACGAAGGGUCCAAGCGUUAAGCGGAGUCACUGGGCUUAAAGCGUGCGCAGGCGGACUGGUAAGCGUCUUGUGAAAUCCCACCGGUCAACGGUGGAACUGCUUGGCGAACUACCAGUCUUGAGGUCGGCAGGGGCUGCCAGAACUCUAGGUGGAGCGGUGAAAUGCGUAGAUAUCUAGAGGAACGCCAAAGGCCGAAGGCAGGCAGCUGGGCCGAUUCUGACGCUCAGGUACGAAAGCGUGGGUAGCGAACGGGAUUAGAUACCCCGGUAGUCAACGCCCUAAACGAUGUGCACUAGAUCGGGGAGGUUCUGACACCAUCCCGGUCGAAGUUAAACUAUUAAGUGCACCGCCUGGGAAGUACGGUCGCAAGGCUAAAACUCAAAGGCAUUGACGGGGGCUCACACAAGCGG
rnacentral:rRNA from 1 species